rnacentral:rRNA from 1 species
AAGGGGGUCUAUUCGAGGUGCUGCAUGGCUGUCGUCAGCUCGUGUCGUGAGAUGUUGGGUUAAGUCCCGCAACGAGCGCAACCCUUGUCCUGUGUUGCCAUCAUUCAGUUGGGAACUCGCAGGAGACCGCCAGCGAUAAGUUGGAGGAAGGUGGGGAUGACGUCAAGUCCUCAUGGCCUUUAUGUCCAGGGCUACACACGUGCUACAAUGGGCGGUACAAAGCGCAGCAAACCCGCGAGGGGGAGCCAAUCGCAAAAAACCGUUCUCAGUUCGGAUUGCAGGCUGCAACUCGCCUGCAUGAAGCUGGAAUCGCUAGUAAUGGCAGAUCAGCACGCUGCCGUGAAUACGUUCCCGGGCCUUGUACACACCGCCCGUCACAUCACGAAAGUGGAUUGUACUAGAAGUCUGCAGGCUGACCCGCAAGGGGGGGCAGCGGCCCAAGGUAUGAUCCAUGAUUGGGGUGAAGUCGUAACAAGGUAAGCGUAGUGCU